AUUACUCGGCUCGUCCGACGAUAAAGAGCCCAGCCGGUGGUGAGAACUGAUGCUAAUUGCAGGAUCCCGUAAACAACGACACCCCGAACGCACAUCGUAGUAU